rnacentral:rRNA from 1 species
AUUGAACGCUGGCGGCAGGCCUAACACAUGCAAGUCGAACGAGUGGCGGACGGGUGAGUAAUGUCUGGGAAACUGCCUGAUGGAGGGGGAUAACUACUGGAAACGGUAGCUAAUACCGCAUACCAUCAGAUGUGCCCAGAUGGGAUUAGCUUGUUGGUGGGGUAACGGAUCACCAAGGCGGCGAUCCCUAGCUGGUCUGAGAGGAUGACCGGCAAAACGGGAACGUGGACACGGUCAAGACUCCGACGGGAGGCAGCAGUGGGGAAUAUGGCACAAGGAGCGCAAGCCGGAUGCAGCCAUGCCGAGUGUAGGAAGAAGGCCUUCGGGUGGUAAAGUACUUUCAGCGGGGAGGCGUUACCCGCAGAAGAAGCACCGGCUAACUCCGUGCCAGCAGCCGCGGUAAUAC